UACAGAGGGUGCUAGCGUUGUUCGGAAUCAUUGGGCGUAAAGGGCGUGUAGGCGGUUUGUUAAGUCAUGUGUGAAAGCCCCCCGGCUCAACCGGGGAACGACGCAUGAAACUGGCAAGCUAGAGUACCGAAGAGGGGGGGUGGAAUUCUCGGUGUAGCAGUGAAAUGCGUAGAUAUCGAGAGGAACACCAGUGGCGAAGGCGAGUCCCUGGACAACACCUGACACUGAGGCACGAAAGCUAGGGGAGCAAACAGG
rnacentral:rRNA from 1 species